rnacentral:misc_RNA from 1 species
GAAUAAUACAAGCAUAAAGCAUUUUUUUUCCCAUUUUUUAUCCAUAAUCCGUACAACGAAAUGCAAAAAUACAAAGUCCAGUACAUGGAUUGUCUUGAGAAAACGACUCAAUAAUUUAACCAAAAUUCCCAAACUUCUGCAAAUAUGAAUUUUUACAAAUCUACAGAACCUGGUUCUUACAGAAAGAAAUUUAAUUCCAAAAUAUAAAUCGGUAUCGAAUCACCUAAAAUGCAUUUCUUUAUGCACAAUACCAUAACUUCUACCCUCAGCUUCUAAGCUGAAUCAUUUGGCAAUUGGCAACACAUAAGCUGUACACUGAUCAUCUCAUUCAUCACCUACUUAAGUAUCAGACAUCUCCCGGAACCGAGCAAGUGCCUUCUUAUGAAUGAGAGUUUUAUAACUAUCCCCAGCCUGCACCUCAAGACUAGGAUCCAAUUUCUUCUGCCGACUCCCAAGUCCUGCUCGAUUCUCCAUGGCUUUUGCUUGUACUGGUUCUAUCAUUCCACUUCCAUCCUUCCCCAAUCCCUGUCAAUCACAUCAUAUAUAAAAGGAAGAGGGAAUCCCCAGAAUGGAAAUGUAAGAAUCAAGUUGCAUAAUUGUUUCAAAAGAGGACCAAAAGGCCACCAUUCAACAUUGCAAUAUACGCUUGUAACGUAUGAGAAGAUAUUACACCUGUAGACCAGAGAAAAUAACAUGCAAAAGGCACAAUUGUAAUAAUGAAAAAAGCUCAUCUAAGGAUACUUUCAUAGGUAUGGGAAGUUUUGGUUUUAACAGGAUAUGUCUAUUCAACCAUAAGAAAAAGGCUUCACAAGACGCAUUCUAUUUCAUGAGCAUACCAAGCACACCAACAGAAGUCAACCCAUAAAUCAGCAGAUAAAAGAGUGCAUAAGAAGGGAAGGUACCAAGCCUUCAUGCCAGCCCAUACUGCGGAGCAUUCUAUUGCCCACAUUGCUCUCAUCAAUAGCCCUGUCUGCUGUAAUCACCUCAUAACUCUGAGCAUUGACGUUUACAUCUCCAGUCCCAAGUCCUCCACCAACACCAGGUGGGAAAGGCAUUGAAUCUGAAGAACCCUUUUUGAAUGGCAAAUCCCGAUCUUCAAAGUUCAAGAACGAUAAACACAAAGGAUGCCUCACAAGUUAAUGGUGAUAAUGAGAGAUACAAGCAAUGGACCCAUCGACUUGGACAACUGAAAAUAUUAUUAUAAAACUAAGAUUUGACAGACAUCCCAGGCCAUGAUCACUAACAAGGAAGAUACAUGUCUUUUGUUCUUUGUAAUAUGCAAUAAAGGUGUCUAUCUGAAACAAAUUAUCAAACAUACUUACCUGAAUCCCCAAACCCAAUAUCAGGCCGAUCAUCUCCCAUAGAAGAUGAUGAACCAUACAAACUCCUCCUUUCAGCUGCACGAUCCCUGUAGGUAGACUGAGAAUUCUCCUUGUGAGCAGAAGCCGAAGAAAGCGGCAUCUCAGAAAACCUCCUCUUGCCACUCCCAGUGGAUGCAGGUGUUGCGUAAGAACCCAAUGCUGAUGCAUCUGUCCUGAAGGGAGUCAUGAUUGCAGAUGUAUCUGCAUUUGUUGAUGAACCAGCAGUAGCAGUGAAGGUAGAAACUCCACUGGAUGAUCCUGAAUAUGAAGCAUCAGAUUUCACAACACCUCGCCCAGAGCCCCUUAUGACCCCCAUCAGAGUUCCCCCUGAGCUAUUACUUACAGGUCUUGGCUUGACUGGAGAGUCCAAACCAGCCUGGGCAACUGUGGUGCUUAUGAUAAUUCCUGAAGGGGACACAGCACUCUCCUUCGUGGUCAUCGCAUCAGAUUUGAACUUGCUCUUUGUGGCUUGUCCAACCGAAAAAGACCUGUCAUCCGCUAAACCAGAUGGCUGAUUGUCAUCAACAGUAACACGAGUUGCUUGCCCUUCAUGACUCCUCUGCUUCCACAUUGUCAACACAUUGUUCAUUUUCUUCUUGCUAGCCAAAAGACUGCUUUUUGAAGCAAGCUUUAUCUCUUUAGACUUCUCCUUCUCUUUCUUCUCUGCAGCUAAUGCUGCUGUAGCAGCAGCCUGGACUGCAUCAGGUAAUGAAGCAACCUUCUCAGCAGAUGUAAUAGUGGCAGCUGGUGCUGAGAUUAUUACUUUUCUAUUAUUGGAAGUAUCUGAUGGCUUGGAAUGCUCAGACAGUUUAUCAGAAGUCUGAUUGUCAUUCUGAUCCGUGCAAGGGAUAUAUUGCUGAGUUUGGUGGUCAAAGGAAUACCAGAUCCCACUGUUACCAUCAUAAUAAAGGCCUGUAUUUCCAUCAUAGUAGAACCCAGAAGCAGCAUCAUAGUAAUAACCAGAUGCUUCAUCCCAUACAAAGCCAGAUUGUGGAGCAGAACCAUCCUUCUGAACCGCUGCCUCCCCACUAGUUUGCUCCGGCCCACUGGUAGAUUUGUCAUCUGGGUUAUACUCCUUUGGUGCCCAUCCAACAACAUCGUACUAAGAAAAGAGAUGGGGCAAAGAUUUUAAUCAAUUUUAUAACUGACAUAUCAAAAAGAUAGAAAAAGCAAGCAGAAAAAUUAGUGGUAACGUAGUACAAAUACCACAAAACCAAACAUAACUAUUAAUAGGCUAGAGAGAGUAAAAGGUGGCCAAGUUGGAUAAAAGAAAAUCUGCAAAAUCUCAAAUAUCAUCCAGUUGACUGCAAGUUAAGAACCAUUAUCCAGAUAAUUUCUUUCCAAUCAGUUAACCACAUAAAUCCAAAUAUUUGUGAUGCACAGAGGAAGUUACAAAGAAUAAUUCCAAGCACAAAUGGUAGUCGGACAUGUUGCAUCCAAGGUAGAUAUUUGAGAAAUUUAUAUGUAUUAACUAGCUAGCAAAAAAAGGAUUCGUAAUAUAGCUUGCACUGUAAUGUAAUAAGAUACAACUCUUGUGAAGAAGGGUUUUUUUUUUUCUGAUAUCGCAUUUGUGGAUAUGUAAGCUACAGUGGAUCAUUUUUCCCUGUAAAUGAUUAUCUAUGAUGUGUGGGUCCAGCUUGCUCCUUUGGUGCCCCUUUAUACUAUCUUUUUCUACUGGUUUAUUCCCAGUAAAAAUUACAGUACAUAUCACUAAAUCUUACAAAAAGAAACCAAAAAAUUGAGGGAAAACAUGUGAACACCUGUUGAGCAAAUGCUGCCGCCUCAAUUGCGGCAGCCGCAAGGCUGCUUGAUUGUGAAGGUCCCGAUGCCCCAGAUCCUGGACCAAUAAUGCUCUUUGCAUAUGCUACCCUUAAUAUCUGUCCAUUCUUCUCAAGAGCUGUUCCAUUAGUUGCUUCAAGAGCCUUAGUGGCAUCUUCAACUGAAUGGAAAUGCACAAAUGCAAAUCCCCUUGAAACAUGAGUAAAUUUGUCUCGAACAAGACGAAGAUCCUUAAUUGGAGCAUGUUUAGAAAACUCAUAACGAAGCAUCUCCUCAUCAGCAUUUUCAUCCAAUCCGCGAACAACCAAUACAUGAGUAGGACCUGCCUCAAAUCCUUUCCUUCCUAAAGAAGUUGGAUUUGACAAAGCUACAUCUGCCGGUGGUGCAUCUUCAGUUCUUGGCUCAUUACACUGAAAACAGGAUGUUCGCCGCGCAAAAUUGACACAACCACAGAUGGUGCACAUCCAAUCAGAUGGUACUGUAAUGCUUCUAUGGUUGAUAUGGCCCGAUUUCAUAGCAUUUUCUUGGCCAAAUGGUCCCCCUGCCCCCCCAGUUGGCUUACUAUACUCGAAGAACAGUUUCCUGCCAUCCACAACAAGACCAUCAUCCCCAAUCCUAUCCAUCAUAGCACAAGCUGCAUUCACAGAUGGAAAAUCAAUAAAAGCAAAUCCACGAGAAAUGCCAGAAUUCCGCUCUUUGAUCACACGGACAUGGCGAAGGGGACCCCAUUCAGCAAGCAUCUGAUACAAGUCUUCCUCAGUUGUCUUCUGAGAUAGACCUUUCACAACAACAGUUGCAGAUGGUGCCACUGUGUAGUUGCCUCGUUGACGCUUCUCCUCAUGAUCUCUCCACCUUUCAGUCCUCUCAUGUUGACUUUCAUUGUAGUUGUUUUCCCGUUGACUUCGCCCAUGACUCCGACCUCGAGGGGACCUUGAUCUAAGACGAUCAUCACGUCCACGAGAACGAGAUCGUUCAUGCCGUUUAUGUGGACUCUUAUCUCUUUCCCAACUCAAACCUCUCUUAUUACGUUCUCGAUCACGAGACUCAUGCUUCCUCCAAUUUCCCUCUCUCUUACUGCUUCCCUCAUAGUCUGAAUCAUAACUAUGUCGACCAUAUUCAUAAUCUCUAUCAUGGCUGUCCUCCCUAUUUUUACUGGAAACAUGAGGCCUGUAAUCAUAGUCAUCAUAUGCAUAAUCAUCUCGAUCACGUCCCCCAAACCUAGCACCCCUGUCAAACCCAUGAUCAUAAUAGUUUUCCGUGUUGCGAUAGCCAUCACGGAACUUAUCAAGUUCCUGGUAUGAAUCAAUCUCACGAUCACGAAAAGUAUCCAUCUCAUGGUAAGAACCCACAUAUGUUUUCUCAUGUCUCCUUGAAUCUCUGUCAAGGGGAUACUCUUCUUCAUAACUUCGCCUUCUUGACUGAGGCCAAAGACCAACAGCAGGAGGUGGUGGAUAGUUUUCCCUCUCUAGAAUGUCCCGGUCAAAAGCAUUUCUUUGGUAGACAUUAUCCCUUGUGUAUCUUUCAUCAUGAAACCUCCUAUCAUCAUAUGAACCACCAACCCGAUAGUUUGGCUCAUGGACUCCACCAUACCCCUCCAGAGCCUGUGGAUUCAAGAGAAUGAGCUAUGUCAGCAACAAAUAUCAGUCAUGAUAGAGGUUAGGCAAAUCCAUUCCAUAUCCUCAGUGGCCCCAGAGCUUUCUCUUAUUUUUCUUUAUGAUGAGAUACCCCAAAAAAAAUGGACUACCACACGAGCCCUAAAAAUUUCUUGUAUUAACAUCCCAUAUAUGUGAUUAUUAAGGAGGAAACCACAAUUACGCUGUUAUUAUCCCAUCCUUGCUGGAGACCAUAGCGACCAGGAUCCAUUUCCUUGCAUGCAAAAAACUGCUGGUGAAACCCCCCUGCCCUGCAAGGCUCUCGGUGAUUGCUCACAAUGUUCUAAAUCCCUUCCUGUAAUAUAUGCACAAACAGACACAGUUAUAUCACAGCAGAUCAGAAAGUGCAAUUACUCCCAUGCGUUUGACCUUGGCCUCUUCUUUUACAACUUGAAUCCUCAAAAAAAAUCCUCUCCACAAAGUCAGAUAACACCCAAUUCUCCAAUUCUCUAAACCCAAAAAUCUGAUUCUUUCAACACACAAAUAGAAGCAUCUUGAUAGCAGGAAACCAUCCGCUAAAUAUGACACAAAUAUGAGCCAGGCGAAGCAAUUUAAAUACGAACAGUACACCAAAAAGGAAACUUAAAUACGAACAGUGCAAGUAAAUACCAAAACAAUCAAAAUGUUAUUCGAUUCCCAAAACACAAUAUCAACUGCACAAAACUUAACUGCACAUAAUGUGAUUAUUAAUGAUUUUCUACGAAACAAAAAUAAACAAUUUUAUGCAUGAAAAUUUUCAGGAUUACAUAAAAAUUAACAGAAAAUAAAAAUUCAUUUGGAAAUUAUAUUCGCUCUAAAAUAGAUUGCCACCAGACCCUUCGAUCGUGAAAACUCUUAUCAAUAUCUCAGCCUAUCUAUUUCAUACUUUACAUAUACAUCCUUAGGACAAUCAAUAAGAAGAUUAAAAUCAGAGAGUAGCGAGUCGAUUAGAAAACCAUAAAUCGGGGAUGGCAUGAACGACGACCAUAGGCAUACCUAAAACGUGACGAGAGUAUGGAUCUGUCCAGAGGUUCAGUUUUUCUUUCUCGUCAACCUUUUCUUGAUCUGGCUUUUCUUCUUCGGUUCUUCUCGUCUUCGUUCUCUGCAAGUCGUUGUUUAGGGUUUCUAUGUAGAUAUACAU